rnacentral:snRNA from 1 species
GUGCCCGCUUCGGCAGCGCAUUUACUAAAAUUGGAACGACACAGAGAAGAUUAGCAUGGCCCCUGCACAAGGAUGACACGCAGAUUCGUGAAACAUUCCAUAUUUUA